AAACUUUCAACAACGGAUCUCUUGGCUCUCGCAUCGAUGAAGAACGCAGCGAAAUGCGAUAAGUAAUGUGAAUUGCAGAAUUCAGUGAAUCAUCGAAUCUUUGAACGCACAUAGCGCCCUUUGGUAUUCCUUAGGGCAUACCUGUUCAAGAGCGUC
rnacentral:rRNA from 1 species